rnacentral:rRNA from 1 species
AGAGUUUGAUCCUGGCUCAGGAUGAACGCUGGCGGCGUGCCUAACACAUGCAAGUCGUACGAGCUCGAUCUUCGGAACGGGUUAGUGGCGCACGGGUGAGUAACACGUAGGUGACCUACCCCAGAGUGGGGGAUAACUUCUCGAAAGAGAGGCUAAUACCGCAUACACUCGGUCAUUCAUUUGGCCGAGCAAAGCUCCGGCGCUUUGGGACGGGCCUGCGUCCGAUUAGCUAGUUGGUAGGGUAAUGGCUUACCAAGGCUUUGAUCGGUAGCUGGUCUGAGAGGACGAUCAGCCACACUGGCACUGACACACGGGCCAGACUCCUACGGGAGGCAGCAGUGAGGAAUAUUGGGCAAUGGGCGAAAGCCUGACCCAGCAACGUCGCGUGAGGGAUGAAGGCCUUCGGGUUGUAAACCUCUUUUCUGGGAGAAGAGACAAGGACGGUAUCCCAGGAAUAAGUCUCGGCUAACUACGUG